UUUGGUCCAAGGACAUUCUGAGGUCUCUAAUGUGGCUCCAGAGGGAACAAAGCAAAGUUCAAUUGAGUUUCUUUUAAUCUUUACAAAUUAAAUUCACAUGUCCAAAUGACACCAUGGUCUGUUCCUCAGUGUUACUGCACUCACGCCAAGUCUGAGCCAAGAUCACUUCCAGACCAUUUAUUAAGAUGGGCCAUGACAAUUUUUUUUUUUUUACAAAAUGUAGAGUGUAUUUCCAAAGAUGUAAUUAUAUGCUUCAACAGGCCGAACAGAUGAUGAUCAUGACAGUGAUGCAGCUGUGCCGGGUUACAGCCCUGUGGAAGAGAUGCUACCUCAUCACCAUGUUACCUCAACUAUAACACAACAUGACCAGUAUUCUGCUGAUGUUGCUGCUGUCAGUCAUCAGAGCCCAGCCUGUGCCCCCUGGCCCAUCAUGCCCUGCUUCCUGUGUGGUUUGUUCUGAAGAUGCCGUCAUCUGUAACAGACUGGCUCACAUUAUCAGUAAUGCACACAGACAGACAGACAGACACACACACACACACACACACACACAACACUUACAGUAAAGUACAGCUUUUGUGUUUCACGUUACCCAGUCUAAAUGAUAGUAAUUUAAUUAUAUCUAAUUUCCCUUCACAUACUUUGCAGUAAUAUGACAAACCUUGUAGUAUAUUACCCAUGAUACCUCAUAUGCUUACAGGACUGUACUGUGUGUGUGUGUGUGUGUGUGUGUGUGUGUGUGUGUGUGUGUGUGUGUGUGUGUGUGCGCGUGUGUGUGUGCGCGCGUGCGUGUGUGUGUGUGUAUGUGUGUGUGUGUGUGAUCAGACGCUCCAGACACAACCCAGGCUCUGCUGCUAACAGAGGGCUCCAUCUCCACAGUGCAGCCUGCCUCACUGUCUGACCUCAACAACAUUACAGUCAUAGGUCAGUCAAUACCUGUGUGUCUGUGUAUGUGUGUGUGCAUUUGUAUGUACUUGCACAUGUCUGGGUUGUUGGAUGCUAUUCCUUUCUCUAGGAAGAGAGCAAUGAGAAGAUAGCAACAAGGUAUCUGUUUGCCACAUUGUCUUUUUGAUACACCCACUAGGGGGUAUAGUGGCUUUAAAAUGCUGCAAGUAUGAACUAUA
rnacentral:lncRNA from 15 species